rnacentral:rRNA from 1 species
AGCCCGCUCAGAAACUCAAAUGCAUUGACGGGGCCCGCACAAGCGUGGAGUAUGUGGUUAAUUCGAUGCAACGCGAAGAACCUUACCUGGUCUUGACAUCCCGGAGACCCUUAGGAAACUAGGGGGUGCUUCCAUCUGGAAGAAUCUGGAGACAGGUGCUGCAUGGCUGUCGUCAGCUCGUGUCGUGAGAUGUUGGGUUAAGUCCCGCAACGAGCGCAACCCUUGCCUUUAGUUGCCAGCAGUUCGGCUGGGCACUCUAAAGGGACUGCCGGUGUUAAACCGGAGGAAGGUGGGGAUGACGUCAAGUCCUCAUGGCCUUUAUGACCAGGGCUACACACGUACUACAAUGGCCGAUACAAAGGGCAGCGACACUGCGAGGUGAAGCCAAUCCCGUAAAAUCGGUCUCAGUCCGGAUUGGAGUCUGCAACUCGACUCCAUGAAGUUGGAAUCGCUAGUAAUCGUGGAUCAGCAUGCCACGGUGAAUACGUUCCCGGGCCUU